rnacentral:rRNA from 1 species
UACGGAGGGUGCAAGCGUUGUUCGGAAUCAUUGGGCGUAAAGCGCGUGUAGGCGGUCUACUAAGUCUGAUGUGAAAGCCCGGGGCUUAACCCCGGAAGUGCAUUGGAUACUGGUAGACUUGAGGACGAGAGAGGGAAGUGGAAUUCCUGGUGUAGGGGUGAAAUCCGUAGAUAUCAGGAGGAACAUCGGUGGCGAAGGCGGCUUCCUGGCUCGUAACUGACGCUGAGACGCGAAAGCGUGGGUAGCAAACAGG